CCCGGGUUCUCCUCAGGGUCUUCUUCCAGAUGCGGAACAAAGAAGAGAACUCAAAGUCAUCUGUCUGCUCAUCUAAGGCAAAUGCAUAUCUGAUUGCUUCCUCUGCCCCACUGUUUAUAUAAAAAUGCAGAUUCGCUGAGCCAGACUAAGAAGCGACUACUAUCCCCUCUCACAUAUAAAUUGUUUAAUUCAGUGAAAGGCUGAUCAUAGAUCCAAAAAGAAUGCAACCAUUUAUCUCUUAUCUACCUAUGACCUGGAAGCCCCCUCCCCACUUCGAGUGGUCCCACCUUUCAGGACAAAACCAGUGUACAUCUUACAUGUAUUUGAUUGAUGUCUCAUAUCUCCCUAAAAUGUGUAAAACCAAGCUUUACCCUAACUGCCUUGUGCACAUGUUGUCAGGACUGCCUGUAAACCAAAAAUAAAAUUGUAAGCCCCCCAACCAUCUGAAUGGAUGUCUCCUCUUGGCCAAGGGCAUUCCAAAGUUAACCUGAAAAAGUUAUUUAGGCCAGGAUGGAAGGGAGGUAAGACAUGCCUCAUUAUACCCUCCUCCUUUUUGGAAUUCAAAAAAAGCCGACCAGAGUUAACAUCAACAGACCUUAAGUCUGAUAAGAAACAUUUACAAUCUGUUUUCUCUGAAGCCUGCUACCUGGAGGCUUCAUCUAUAUGAUAAAACUUUGGUCUCCACCACCCCUUAUCAUCCUAACCCAAACAUUCCUUUCUAUUGAUUCUAGGUCUUUAGAUAGUAACCUAACUCUUUCAAUCAAUUGCCAUUCAGAAAAUUUUAAAAUCUACCUAUGACCUGGAACAAUCCCACACCCUGCUUCAAGUUGUCCCAUCUUUCCAGACCAAACCAAUGUACAUCUUUACAUGUCUUUGACUGAAGUCUCAUGUCUCCCUAAAAUGUAUAAAACUAGGCUGUAGCCCAACCACCUAGGGCACAUGUUCUCAGGAUCUCCUAAUGGCUGUGUCAUAGCUCAUGGGUCACUCAUAUUUGGCUCAGAAUGAAUCCCUUCAAAUAUUUUACAGAGUGUGAUUCUUUUCAUUGACAGUAACCUUGGCAAAAUAAACUUUCUAAAUUAAUGGAGACGUAUCUCAGAUACUUUUGGUUCACAGGACCAUGGGAG
rnacentral:lncRNA from 1 species